rnacentral:lncRNA from 1 species
AGAUUUGUGUGGCAGCAGCAAAACAGCCCAACAGCACUUUGCCUGCCUCAGUGAGCACCCUGAAAGAGGUGUCCCUCCAGACGGAUGUGGUCCCCGCUGGCAAGCCCCUGGAGGAACACCUGAACAAUGGGCAACAGUCGAAUAACACCCAGGAGGACAUCCUGUUGAGGGUAAAUGAAAACCCGGUCUCCAUCGAGCACUUCCCGAAUGAAGGCCUGAAGAAGUUCAGCGGUGGGGAGGACAUCUCCCGGCCUCAGGGAAAAAGGCAGAAGAAGCAUGGGGGGUGCUUCAGAUGGAUUGGGGAGUGGCUGUCUAAGAGGAAGGGCGAAGAGAUGAGAGACAGAGGGAGGACGGACCAGAAGCCUUGCCCUCUGAUCGUCGUAAAGCCCAGAGACUUCAGCAUCAGGACUGAUGUGGAGGUAGGAGACCUCGGGGACCGUCUGCCUGAGCUGGAAGGACGCAAUCAGGUUUUAGGAAAAUGCCAGAACACACUCAGUCCUGAGAACACCAAAAUGGUCCAGAGCUUUGAUAUCCCCUGCCCAAUGACACCUCCCAGCCACACCCUUGCUUCCUUGGCCACUAUUGAGUACAUCCCUCACCCAAAUAGGGCACGCCUGGCUCCCAUCACUAAUGUGAGUGAAAAGGGCAGGAAGCUUCUUGUGGAACUUGCCAGAGAUUCCCAACGGCCUCAUGAGACAAACCAAACUGUCAAAGACAUCAAGAAGGCUAAAAAACACAGAAAAAGAAAGAAGGGGAAAGCCAUUGAGAGACAGCAGGAGAAGGUUGUGGGGGCCAAGGAGAAAAAGCACAUCAAAAAGGACAAAAUCAGUCUGAGGAAGAGAUUCCUUCAAUGGCUGCUACCUAAGAUGUGCUGUAUGAGGAAGUAAUGGAGAACGGCUACACACGCACAUACAUACAAACACACACACACACACACACACAUACACACACAAACAUACACACACAGCACACUUGCUAUGCAUACAUUACAUUUAUUCUUCCACUUAUAUUUGAUGGUAUAGUACAGGGGUUCCCUAACCUUUUGUUUCAGGCCCCACCUGUGCAUUUGAGUCACAGCUUGCGCCACCCUCCCGAAACCCGUCAUACAUGCUCUUAUAUAUUGCCCUAACACAGGCCUUAAUAUCUUGCGCUAACACAUAGGCCUUCAGAAAUUGGUUAGCAUUUUACUACAUACAUUUUAUUUCACAAUUGGUAGGCCUAACCUAAUACAUUUCCAUACUUAGAAUUAAUUACAUGGAUAAGUCUGUCGCUGGGAACACAGCUUUUGUAUUCUGGGCUAAUACCUGUACACAAGUAACAGGCAUUCCACUUCAUACACUUAUUCAACUUUGUAGGCUAAAUGCCAGAACAACUUAAUGUAUAAACAUAGAGUGUUUAUAACUUUGUGUACUUACUCAAUUAAUGAGUUGGAUGAGCCUGACACUGGGAACAGCCUUUGUAUUCUGGGCUUCAUGCUUGAUAGUGAUGAACAUAGUUCAACUUCUACUACCGUGAGUGGUGACCGUUGUUUGUUUUUAAUGUAUUCCUGGUAUUCCCCAUCAAUUGACAGCCAGGAUUCAUUCAACAGGGUUGAGAUAAAGGCUGCAGGCAGGUCCCUGUCACUGGAUAGGUCCAGCAGUGAGUCCUGUAGUUCUGAUGACAGGUUGCUGCCAGUGGUAGUGGCGUUGAUAAACCACUGUCAGAUCCAGUCGUGGUUUUUGUGUUUCUCUUCCUGAAAGUACCUCUUCAAUAGACCAAUAAGUCAACGUAAAUGAUUGGUUGUCAUUGCAUUGUCAAACUUGAUCUCUCAUUUUAAAUAGAUGCAACAGCACAUCAUAGCACUAGCCCCAUCUGCAUAAGAUUUAGCUUGGACUUUGGAAAUUGUUGUAGUCUGUGUGGUCAAUGCUUGCUUUUGACCAUGCAAAUCUUGCUCUUUACAAUCGAAAAAAUGCAGUUGUUUAUUAAUGUGUGUUGGGUGUUUGGUGUGUAAAUGUCUCUUCAGUUUCAACGGUAUCAAACUGUCAAUUCCUAGUACCUCCGAACACAUUACACAUUGUGUUAUGUGCAUCCCCAUCAACCACAAGACACAUAAAUCCAUACAGAAUGUAAUUGUCUUGAUAUCGCCGUCGCUUUGCCUGCUUAUGCUUGCGUUUCCUUUCAAAUUUCACUGGCACUUUAGUUUCACUGGCACUGAUAAUUCAAAGUAAUGGUUCUGAUGUACAACUAAUUUACUGUGUCCAAAUGUAUUUCUCAAUAAAGUAUAAUGAAU